CUCGUAUUGGGAAACACUUGCUGCACAGGCGCCAGCUACCGCUACCGUGAUCGGGAGCACUCGGAGCAUUGUAUUGGAGAACAUACAUCUAACGGAACUGGUGAAAGGCGAUCGAUCAAGCGGCUUGUGUCUGCAGUUGGAUCAUGGCCGCGUGGAGCGGAGGUGUCGGGAGGUCCACUGUCGGCGGCGGGUCU